rnacentral:lncRNA from 1 species
GGAACCCUUCCUCUCCAGAGUACCAGCUGCUGCGUGACAACAUCCGACAUCAGCUCCAGUCCCUGUAUCAUGAGGCCUUCUCCAGCUUUGAAGGCAUCGGCGUCCUGCAAUUCAGGCCCGACUCCGCAGCUGUGAAUGCCUCCCUUGUGUUUGGGGGCCACAUCCCGGGCCCCUCUGCCCGUGAAGUCCUCUGGACCCUGUACCACU